GACGAACGCUGGCGGCGUGCUUAACAUAUGCAAGUCGAACGGAAAGGCCCUGCUUUUGUGGGGUGCUCGAGUGGCGAACGGGUGAGUAACACGUGAGUAACCUGCUCUUGACUUUGGGAUAACUUCAGGAAACUGGGGCUAAUACCGGAUAGGAGCUCCUGCUGCAUGGUGGGGGUUGGAAAGUUUCGGCGGUUGGGGAUGGACUCGCGGCUUAUCAGCUUGUUGGUGGGGUAGUGGCUUACCAAGGCUUUGACGGGUAGCCGGCCUGAGAGGGUGACCGGCCACAUUGGGACUGAGAUACGGCCCAGACUCCUACGGGAGGCAGCAGUGGGGAAUAUUGCACAAUGGGCGGAAGCCUGAUGCAGCAACGCCGCGUGCGGGAUGACGGCCUUCGGGUUGUAAACCGCUUUCGCCUGUGACGAAGCGUGAGUGACGGUAAUGGGUAAAGAAGCACCGGCUAACUACGUG
rnacentral:rRNA from 1 species